GCAGUGGUGGUUCAGUGGUGGAAUCCUCACCUUCCAUGCAAGAGACCUGGGUUCGAUUCCCAGCCAAUGCA
rnacentral:tRNA from 1 species